rnacentral:lncRNA from 1 species
CAUUUAAGAAGAUCUACGCCUUCGGCGACUCCUUCACCGACACCGGCAACACCGAGUCCCUCUCCGGCCCCAAUGGCUUUGUCCGCGUUUCCAACCCACCUUACGGCACCACCUUCUUUCACCACCCCACCAACCGCUACUCCGAUGGCCGACUCGUCAUCGACUUCGUGGCUCAGUCACUGUCUCUGCCGUUCUUGCCGCCGUACCGUAACAGAAAAGCCAACAGAACU